rnacentral:rRNA from 1 species
AUACGGAGGGUGCAAGCGUUGUUCGGAAUUACUGGGCGUAAAGCGCGCGUAGGUGGUCUGUUAUGUCAGAUGUGAAAGUCCACGGCUCAACCGUGGAAGUGCAUUUGAAACUGGCAGACUUGAGUACUGGAGGGGGUAGUGGAAUUCCCGGUGUAGAGGUGAAAUUCGUAGAUAUCGGGAGGAAUACCGGUGGCGAAGGCGACUACCUGGCCAGAUACUGACACUGAGGUGCGAAAGCGUGGGGAGCGAACAGGAGUAGAAACCCUAGUAGUCC